rnacentral:rRNA from 1 species
AUGGCCUCCACCAAGCUCAGCUUCAAGAGGAUGGACAGCGUUGCCGAGACCAUGCCCGACGCGCUGCGGCAGAGCCGCUACCAGAUGAAGAGAUGCUUCCAGCGCUACGUGUCCAAGGGCCGCAGGCUCCUCAAGAACCAGCAGCUCAUGGAGGAGCUCGAGAGGUCGCUCGACGACAAGGUCGAGAAGGAGAAGCUCGUCGAAGGCUUCCUCGGCUACAUCAUUUGUUCCACCCAGGAAGCGGUAGUCCUGCCACCGUUCGUCGCGUUCGCCGUCAGAAUGAACCCUGGCAUCUGGGAGUACGUCAAGGUUCACGCCGACGAUCUGUCGGUCGAAGGAAUCACGCCGUCCGAGUACCUCAAGUUCAAAGAGACGUUAUACGAUGAGAAAUGGGCCAAGGAUGACAACUCGCUGGAGGUUGAUUUCGGCGCUCUUGACCUCUCAACACCACGUCUGACACUUCCCUCAUCCAUAGGGAACGGGAUGCAGUUCGUCUCCAAGUUCAUGUCUUCGAAGCUGAAUGGCAAGCCUGAAAGCAUGAAGCCGUUGCUCGACUAUUUACUCACUCUGAAUUACCGCGGAGAGAAGCUGAUGGUUAACGACACAAUCGACACGGUGAAUAAGCUUCAAACAGCGCUGCUCCUUGCAGAAGUUUUUGUCAGUGGGCUGCCAAAAUUCACACCAUAUUUGAAAUUUGAACAAAGAUUUCAAGAGUGGGGAUUGGAGAAAGGGUGGGGUGAAAAUGCUGAGACGUGCAAGGAGACGCUGAAUUUCCUAUCUGAAGUGCUCCAGGCGCCGGAUCCUAUCAACAUGGAGAAGUUCUUCAGCAGGGUUCCAUCCAUUUUUAACAUUGUUGUGUUCUCUAUCCAUGGUUACUUUGGCCAAGAGAAGGUUCUAGGCUUGCCAGACACCGGCGGUCAGGUUGUCUACAUCCUGGACCAAGUCAGGUCCAUGGAAGAGGAGCUUCUGCAAAGAAUCAAGCUGCAGGGUUUGCAUAUAACACCAAAGAUUCUUGUGCUAACAAGACUGAUACCAGAUUCCAAAGGUACAAAGUGUAAUGUGGAGCUCGAACCGGUUGAAAACACAAAAUAUUCACACAUACUACGUGUGCCGUUCAAGACUGAAGAUGGGAAGGAUUUGCGCCAGUGGGUUUCCCGGUUUGACAUUUACCCUUACCUAGAGAGAUAUGCCCAGGAUGCCUCUGCCAAAAUUCUUGACAUUCUAGAGGGCAAACCAGACUUGAUCAUUGGCAACUACACUGAUGGCAACUUGGUGGCGUCCCUCAUGGCGAGCAAACUAGGAGUCACACAGGGAACGAUAGCACAUGCUCUCGAAAAGACGAAGUAUGAGGACUCGGAUACCAAGUGGAGAGAGCUGGACCAGAAGUACCACUUCUCCUGUCAAUUCACUGCUGAUAUUAUUGCCAUGAACACUACUGACUUUAUCAUCACUAGCACAUACCAAGAAAUCGCUGGAAGCAAAGAGAAGCCUGGCCAGUAUGAACACCACUAUGCAUUCACAAUGCCCGGCCUUUGCCGCUACGCCACAGGCAUCAAUGUCUUCGACCCGAAGUUCAACAUUGCUGCACCUGGCGCCGAUCAGUCCGUCUACUUCCCCUUCACACAGAAGCAGAAGCGGCUGACAGCUUUACACCCUCAGAUUGAGGAGUUACUGUACAGUAAGGAGGACACAGAUGAACACAUAGGAUAUCUGGCAGACAGAAGUAAGCCAAUCAUCUUCUCGAUGGCGAGGCUGGACAAGGUGAAGAACAUCACUGGACUAGUCGAGUGGUAUGGGCAGAACAAGAAGGUCAGGGACCUUGUGAACCUCGUCGUCGUUGCAGGCCUCCUGAAUGCUGCACAGUCCAAGGACCGAGAAGAGAUAGAUGAGAUCAACAAGAUGCACAAUUUGAUCGACAAGUACCAGCUAAAAGGACAGAUCCGCUGGAUCAAGGCACAGACCGACCGUGUCCGCAAUGGCGAGCUGUACCGUUACAUUGCAGAUACAAAGGGUGCAUUUGUUCAGCCUGCUCUGUAUGAAGCAUUUGGGCUAACAGUCAUCGAGGCGAUGAACUGCGGGCUGCCAACCUUCGCGACAAACCAAGGAGGGCCGGCAGAGAUCAUCGUCGACGGGGUGUCGGGUUUCCACAUAAACCCAAUGAACGGCAGGGAGGCAGGCACCAAGAUUGCAGACUUCUUCCAGAAGUGCAAGGAAGACCCAGGCUACUGGAACAAGAUGUCCACUGCCGGGCUUCAGCGCAUCUACGAAUGCUACACAUGGAAGAUCUAUGCAACCAAGGUGCUGAACAUGGGGUCAAUGUAUGGCUUCUGGAGGACUCUGAACAAGGAAGAGAGAGUGGCCAAGCAACGCUACAUGCAGAUGUUCUACAACCUUCAGUUCAGGAACCUGGUGAAGACCGUCCCCAGAGUAGGGGAGCAGCCUCCAAGACCCGCGACCACGACAGGGGCGGCGGCGGAGCGUAACCAGAUCGUGGCAAGGCCGAGAGAAAGGCAAGUAAAGCCGCAGGGUCGGGUCCAAAGGAUGAUGACCAGCCUGCUCGGGCCGAAGCCGCCGACGUAUGAACAGAACGGCUACAGAUGA